rnacentral:rRNA from 1 species
GGGGAAUAUUGCACAAUGGGCGAAAGCCUGAUGCAGCGACGCCGCGUGAGUGAAGAAGUAUUUCGGUAUGUAAAGCUCUAUCAGCAGGGAAGAAAAUGACGGUACCUGACUAAGAAGCCCCGGCUAACUACGUGCCAGCAGCCGCGGUAAUACGUAGGGGGCAAGCGUUAUCCGGAUUUACUGGGUGUAAAGGGAGCGUAGACGGCGAAGCAAGUCUGAAGUGAAAACCCAGGGCUCAACCCUGGGACUGCUUUGGAAACUGUUUUGCUAGAGUGUCGGAGAGGUAAGUGGAAUUCCUAGUGUAGCGGUGAAAUGCGUAGAUAUUAGGAGGAACACCAGCGGCGAAGGCGGCUUACUGGACGAUAACUGACGUUGAGGCUCGAAAGCGUGGGGAGCAAAC